CUCGUUUAUUCUGAUAGUUUUUUUCAUGGAUUUUCUAUAUACAAAAUUAUGUCAUUUGUGAAUAGAGAAAUUUUAUUUCUUCCUUUCCAGUAUGGAUACCUUUUAUUUAUUUUUCUUGUAUAAUUGACUUGGCUAGAGCAUCUAGCACAAUGUUGAAUAGAAGUACCAAAGUUGGUAUCCUUAUCUUAUUCCGUAACUUAGAGGAAAGCAUCCAGUCUGUCACCAUGAGUAUCAUGUUAGAUGUGGGUUUCUUGUAGAUGCCCUUUAUCAGGUUGAGGGAUUUCCUUUCAAUUCCUAAUUUGUUGAGUAUUAGCUUGUUGAUAUGGUAGAUUAUAUUGAUUACUUUUUGAAUAUAGACCCAACCUUGCAUCCUUGCAAUAAAUCCCACUUGGUUAUGGUGUAUGAUUAUUUUUUUAUGAUGCUCAAUUAUAUUUGCUAAUUGUAUUAGUUUCCUAGGGACACAGCAACAAAUUACCACAAACUGGGUGACUUAAAAGAACAGAAAUAUAUUCCCUCACAAUUCUGGAGGCCAGAAGUCCAAAGUCAGUAUUACUGGGCCAAAAUCAAAGUACCAUCUGGGCCCCACUCUGUCUAGAAGCUGUAGGGGAGAAUCCAUUCAUUGCCUCUUCUAGCUUCUGGUGGCUGUUGGCAUUCCUUAUCUUUGGCUGCAUCACUCUAAUUUUCUAGUGUAGCAUCUUUAGAUCUCUUUCUGUUUCAUCUUCAUAUGACCUUCUCAUCUUCAUAUGUGUUUGUAUCAAAUCUCCCUCUGUCUCUCUCUUAUAAGAAUAUGCAUGAUUGAACUUAGGGCCCACCUGGAUAUUCCAGGAUAAUCUCUCCAUCUCAAGCUCUUUAGUUUAGGAGGUUGAUGUCAAGAUGGUGGUGUAGGUGGACUCUGAAGUCACCUCCUCCCAAGAACACAACCAAGCUACAACUAAUCUUGGAACAAUUACCCCUGAGAGACAACUGAAAUCUGGAUAAAAAUAAGCCCUGCAACAAGGGACAGUCCUGAAUGAGAUGGAAGAGGCAGAAAUUCAUUCUGGAGAGGAAAAGGCCACCUUGACAUGCUGCAGCACUUCCCAACUGGCCAGGAGCACCCUAAGAGUUUUACAGAUGUAGCCCUUUAAUUGAAGUCUUUGGUCCACUUUGAGCUGUUUUCUAUAUGGUAUAAGGUAUGGUUCCACUUUCAUUCUUUUGCAUAUGGAUAUCCAGUUUUGUCAGCACCAUUUGUUGAAGAGAC
rnacentral:lncRNA from 1 species